GCUGGCGGCAUGCCUAACACAUGCAAGUCGAACGAGACCUUCGGGUCUAGUGGCGCACGGGUGCGUAACACGUGGGAAUUUGCCUCGGGGUAUGGAAUAACUCAGGGAAACUUGAGCUAAUACCAUAUAAUGUCUUCGGACCAAAGAUUUAUCGCCCUGAGAUAAGCCCGCGUAGGAUUAGCUAGUUGGUGGGGUAAAGGCUCACCAAGGCGACGAUCCUUAGCUGGUUUGAGAGGAUGAUCAGCCACACUGGGACUGAGACACGGCCCAGACUCCUACGGGAGGCAGCAGUGGGGGAAUAUUGGACAAUGGGCGAAAGCCUGAUCCAGCAAUGCCGCGUGAGUGAUGAAGGCCUUCGGGUUGUAAAGCUCUUUUACUCGGGACGAUAAUGACGGUACCGAGAGAAUAAGCCCCGGCUAACUCCGUG
rnacentral:rRNA from 1 species